rnacentral:lncRNA from 1 species
AGGGGGGGGGGGGUUGUUGCUUUGAGGGAAGUUACGCUUAUUUUUUUUUUUUUUUGUUUGUUUGUUUUUUUUUUUUUUUUGAGAUGGAGCCUUGCUUUGUCUCCAGGCUGGAGUGCUCUGGCGGGAUCUCAACUCACUGCAAUCUCUGCCUCCCGGGUUCAAGCGAUUCUCCUGCCUCAGCCUCCCUAGUAGCUGGGACUACAGGCACGUG